rnacentral:rRNA from 1 species
UACGAAGGGGGCUAGCGUUGCUCGGAAUCACUGGGCGUAAAGGGUGCGUAGGCGGCCAUUUAAGUCUGGGGUGAAAGCCCGUUGCUCAACAACGGAACUGCCCCUGGAAACUGGAUGGCUUGAGUACAGACGAGGGUGGCGGAAUGGAUGCUGUAGCGGUGAAAUGCAUAGAUAGCAUCCAGAACCCCCGAUUGCGAAGCAGCUGCCUAGACUGUAACUGACGCUGAGGCACGAAAGCGUGGGGAGCGAACAGG